rnacentral:rRNA from 1 species
CGUAGAGAUAGAAAGUUACUUCGGUACAUCGGUGACAGGUGGUGCAUUGGUUGUCGUCAGCUCGUGUCGUGAGAUGUUGGGUUAAGUCCCGCAACGAGCGCAACCCUCGUCCUUAGUUGCUAACAGUUCGGCUGAGCACUCUAGGGAGACUGCCUUCGCAAGGAGGAGGAAGGUGAGGACGACGUCAAGUCAUCAUGGCCCUUACGGCCAGGGCUACACACGUGCUACAAUGGGGCGUACAGAGAGCUGCGAUACCGCGAGGUGGAGCCAAUCUCUUAAAGCGUCUCUCAGUUCGGAUUGCUCUCUGCAACUCGAGAACAUGAAGCUGGAAUCACUAGUAAUCGCAGAUCAGCUAUGCUGCGGUGAAUACGUUCCCGGGUCUU